UCUCACCUCGUGGGGCAUCACUGAUCAUGAGGAAGGUGAGGGAUCAGCUCAGAACUACACGGCAGGACCUAGUCAAUGACCUGAAGAGAGCUGGGACCACAGUCUCAAAGAAGACCAUUAGCAACACACUACGCCACCAUGUAUUAAAAUCCUGCAGCACACGUAAGUCCUCCUGGUGAAGCUAGUGCAUGUCUAGGGGAAGGGUGAGUACAACCCCAAGAACACCAUCUCUACCAUGAAGCAUAGAGGUGGAAACAGCCUUCUUUGGGGAUGCUUUUCUGCAAAGGGGACAGGACGACUGCCCUGUAUUGAGGGGAGGAUGGAUGUGGCCAUGUAUCAGGAGAUCUUAGACAACAACCUCCUUCCCUCAGCAAGGGCAUUGAAGAUGGGUCCUGGCUGGGUCUUCCAGCAUGACAACGACCCGAAGCACACAGCCAGGGCAACUAAGGAGGGGCUCCGUAAGAAGCAUCUCAUAUCUGAUAUCUAUAAUUGCAACCAAAGGUUUCUGCACCAAGUUUUGUUUUUCUGAUGUAUCAAAUUCUUAUGUCAUGCAAUAGAAUGCAAAUGUAUUACUUAAAAAUCACACAAUGUGAUUUUCUGGAUUUUAGUUUUAGAUUCUGUCACUCACAGUUGAAGAUCACCUAUGAAAGACUUUUACUUGCUUUGCAAGUGGGAAAACCUUCAAAAUCGGCAGUGUAUCAAAUACUUGUUCUCUCCACUGAAUGCAACACCAGACAGCAGUAGUAGACAGUAGAGUCUUUGGGUAUUGGAUGAUGGGCUUUGUGGCCUCUGCCAUAUUUGGUCCCAUCCUGCACCUCAAUUUUAACCUUAUGUCUGGCUGCAUGGGACUGCUGAGGCCUUCUGGAUGAGGUCUGCCCCCCCUUUGCUACUCUUAGGUGAUGUGGAUUGUGGGCACUCGACCGUUCUCUUCAGACUUACAAAUGUACACUUCCAGACUUGCACUCACACACAACCACUCAACACAAACACUUAUUUCUACUCAUAUGCCUACCCUGUCAGUCUGGUUCUCCUGUCUGCCUGCUGCUAACCUGUUCUCACCACUAGGCGCCACUAGUUGGAAGACACUGGAGAUCGUGACGGGUGCGGCUCGUUAUUUCAUCAACCGGGGAGCUUUAAGAGGAUGGAUUGCCAGCACUUCGUUGCCUGAGUGUUUUGCCCUCAGCGGUAUUUCAAUCUGAUCUGCUCUUGCCUUGAGCCUGUUUCCUGAGAAUAACCUCGUGUUAAUUCUUCCCUUCUCUUGCCUGUUCUAGGUUCUGGCCACAGACCGGAACCAAGCAAUCCUGAACCUUCGACUAGCAGUGUGGAAUUGUUUCCCUGACUUUGGACUGAAUCUAGCUGGCAAUCCUUAGACCCUCUGGAGCUCCUGCCUGCAGCUCGAACCCUGUCCACCCCCCAGCGUUUGCUUCAGUCUGGAUCAACGUCUCUAGCUUCAGUGGUGCCGUAGGCAGUCGUACCAUUCAUCCCAGACUCUGAUUCUCUCCCUGGCGGUUUUCCCUGCUCUACUAUACGUGGCGUUCUGUUCCCGAGCUGUUUGUUUGGCCUGCAGCCUGCAUUUAAAUAAAAUCAACUAAACUGU